rnacentral:tRNA from 1 species
GGAUAGAUGGCCGAGCGGUUAAGGCGCUAGCUUCAGGUGCUAGUGGGGCAACCCGCGUGAGUUCGAGUCUCACUCUAUUCA